rnacentral:rRNA from 1 species
AUACGUAGGGGGCAAGCGUUGUCCGGAAUUAUUGGGCGUAAAGCGCGCGCAGGCGGUUCUUUAAGUCUGGUGUUUAAGUGCGGGGCUCGACCCCGUGACGCACUGGAAACUGGGGGACUUGAGUGCAGAAGAGGAGAGCGGAAUUCCACGUGUAGCGGUGAAAUGCGUAGAGAUGUGGAGGAACACCAGUGGCGAAGGCGGCUCUCUGGCCUGUAACUGACGCUGAGGCGCGAAAGCGUGGGGAGCAAACAGGAUUAGAUACCCUGGUAGUCCACGCCGUAAACGAUGAGUGCUAGGUGUCGGAGGGGUCCACCCUGCGGUGCCGAAGUCAACACAUUAAGCACUCCGCCUGGGGAGUACGGUCGCAAGACUGAA